rnacentral:rRNA from 1 species
AGCGUACACGGUGGAUGCCCUGGCAGUCAGAGGCGAUGAAGGACGUGCUAAUCUGCGAUAAGCGUCGGUGAGGUGAUAUGAACCGUUAUAACCGGCGAUUUCCGAAUGGGGAAACCCAGUGUGAUUCGUCACACUAUCAUUAACUGAAUCCAUAGGUUAAUGAGGCGAACCGGGGGAACUGAAACAUCUAAGUACCCCGAGGAAAAGAAAUCAACCGAGAUUCCCCCAGUAGCGGCGAGCGAACGGGGAGGAGCCCAGAGCCUGAAUCAGUGUGUGUGUUAGUGGAAGCGUCUGGAAAGGCGCGCGAUACAGGGUGACAGCCCCGUACACAAAAAUGCACAUGCUGUGAGCUCGAUGAGUAGGGCGGGACACGUGGUAUCCUGUCUGAAUAUGGGGGGACCAUCCUCCAAGGCUAAAUACUCCUGACUGACCGAUAGUGAACCAGUACCGUGAGGGAAAGGCGAAAAGAACCCCGGCGAGGGGAGUGAAAAAGAACCUGAAACCGUGUACGUACAAGCAGUGGGAGCCUCUUAAUGGGGUGACUGCGUACCUUUUGUAUAAUGGGUCAGCGACUUAUAUUCUGUAGCAAGGUUAACCGAAUAGGGGAGCCGAAGGGAAACCGAGUCUUAACUGGGCGUUAAGUUGCAGGGUAUAGACCCGAAACCCGGUGAUCUAGCCAUGGGCAGGUUGAAGGUUGGGUAACACUAACUGGAGGACCGAACCGACUAAUGUUGAAAAAUUAGCGGAUGACUUGUGGCUGGGGGUGAAAGGCCAAUCAAACCGGGAGAUAGCUGGUUCUCCCCGAAAGCUAUUUAGGUAGCGCCUCGUGAAUUCAUCUCCGGGGGUAGAGCACUGUUUCGGCAAGGGGGUCAUCCCGACUUACCAACCCGAUGCAAACUGCGAAUACCGGAGAAUGUUAUCACGGGAGACACACGGCGGGUGCUAACGUCCGUCGUGAAGAGGGAAACAACCCAGACCGCCAGCUAAGGUCCCAAAGUCAUGGUUAAGUGGGAAACGAUGUGGGAAGGCCCAGACAGCCAGGAUGUUGGCUUAGAAGCAGCCAUCAUUUAAAGAAAGCGUAAUAGCUCACUGGUCGAGUCGGCCUGCGCGGAAGAUGUAACGGGGCUAAACCAUGCACCGAAGCUGCGGCAGCGACGCUUAUGCGUUGUUGGGUAGGGGAGCGUUCUGUAAGCCUGUGAAGGUGGCCUGUGAGGGUUGCUGGAGGUAUCAGAAGUGCGAAUGCUGACAUAAGUAACGAUAAAGCGGGUGAAAAGCCCGCUCGCCGGAAGACCAAGGGUUCCUGUCCAACGUUAAUCGGGGCAGGGUGAGUCGACCCCUAAGGCGAGGCCGAAAGGCGUAGUCGAUGGGAAACAGGUUAAUAUUCCUGUACUUGGUGUUACUGCGAAGGGGGGACGGAGAAGGCUAUGUUGGCCGGGCGACGGUUGUCCCGGUUUAAGCGUGUAGGCUGGUUUUCCAGGCAAAUCCGGAAAACCAAGGCUGAGGCGUGAUGACGAGGCACUACGGUGCUGAAGCGACAAAUGCCCUGCUUCCAGGAAAAGCCUCUAAGCAUCAGGUAACAUCAAAUCGUACCCCAAACCGACACAGGUGGUCAGGUAGAGAAUACCAAGGCGCUUGAGAGAACUCGGGUGAAGGAACUAGGCAAAAUGGUGCCGUAACUUCGGGAGAAGGCACGCUGAUAUGUAGGUGAAGCGACUUGCUCGUGGAGCUGAAAUCAGUCGAAGAUACCAGCUGGCUGCAACUGUUUAUUAAAAACACAGCACUGUGCAAACACGAAAGUGGACGUAUACGGUGUGACGCCUGCCCGGUGCCGGAAGGUUAAUUGAUGGGGUUAGCGGUAACGCGAAGCUCUUGAUCGAAGCCCCGGUAAACGGCGGCCGUAACUAUAACGGUCCUAAGGUAGCGAAAUUCCUUGUCGGGUAAGUUCCGACCUGCACGAAUGGCGUAAUGAUGGCCAGGCUGUCUCCACCCGAGACUCAGUGAAAUUGAACUCGCUGUGAAGAUGCAGUGUACCCGCGGCAAGACGGAAAGACCCCGUGAACCUUUACUAUAGCUUGACACUGAACAUUGAGCCUUGAUGUGUAGGAUAGGUGGGAGGCUUUGAAGUGUGGACGCCAGUCUGCAUGGAGCCGACCUUGAAAUACCACCCUUUAAUGUUUGAUGUUCUAACGUUGGCCCCUAAUCGGGGUUGCGGACAGUGUCUGGUGGGUAGUUUGACUGGGGCGGUCUCCUCCUAAAGAGUAACGGAGGAGCACGAAGGUUGGCUAAUCCUGGUCGGACAUCAGGAGGUUAGUGCAAUGGCAUAAGCCAGCUUGACUGCGAGCGUGACGGCGCGAGCAGGUGCGAAAGCAGGUCAUAGUGAUCCGGUGGUUCUGAAUGGAAGGGCCAUCGCUCAACGGAUAAAAGGUACUCCGGGGAUAACAGGCUGAUACCGCCCAAGAGUUCAUAUCGACGGCGGUGUUUGGCACCUCGAUGUCGGCUCAUCACAUCCUGGGGCUGAAGUAGGUCCCAAGGGUAUGGCUGUUCGCCAUUUAAAGUGGUACGCGAGCUGGGUUUAGAACGUCGUGAGACAGUUCGGUCCCUAUCUGCCGUGGGCGCUGGAGAACUGAGGGGGGCUGCUCCUAGUACGAGAGGACCGGAGUGGACGCAUCACUGGUGUUCGGGUUGUCAUGCCAAUGGCACUGCCCGGUAGCUAAAUGCGGAAGAGAUAAGUGCUGAAAGCAUCUAAGCACGAAACUUGCCCCGAGAUGAGUUCU